GGGGGCUGUGGCUCAGCGGCAGAACAUCUGCUUUGCAUGCAGAAGAUCCCAGGUUCAAUCCCUGGCAUCUCCA